GAUGAACGCUGGCGGCGUGCCUAAUACAUGCAAGUCGAGCGAACGGACGAGGAGCUUGCUUUUCUGAUGUUAGCGGCGGACGGGUGAGUAAUACGUGGAUAACCGACCUAUAAGACUGGGAUAACUUCGGGAAACCGGAGCUAAUACCGGAGAAUAUUUUGAACCGCAUGGUUCAUAAGUGAAAGACGGUCUUGCUGUCACUAAUAGAUGGAUCCAGGCUGCAUUAGCUAGUUGGUAAGGUAACGGCGUACCAAGGCGACGAUGCGUAGCCGACCUGAGAGGGUGAUCGGCCACACUGGAACUGAGACACGGUCCAGAGUCCUACGGGAGGGAGCAGUAGGGAAUAUUAGGCAAUGGGCGAAAGCCUGACACAGCGAUGCCGCGUGUGUGAUGAAGGUCUUCGGAUCGUAAAACUCUGUUAUUUGGGAAGAACAUAUGUAUAAGUAGAUGUGGACAUCUUGACGGUACCUAGUCAAGAAGCCCCGGCUAACUACGUG
rnacentral:rRNA from 1 species